CCACUAUUACCAAAUAAAUUUUUUCUACGGUGCUUUAUUUCUUCGACCACAGAUAUUAUGAUAAAUUAAGAAAACUCCCGAACUUGUUAAGUUAACCCCUUCUACAUUGCUGCUUUUCUUAACUGACCGACUAUUUCUUAGUUUAGCCUUUAAAAAAAUAUUUACGUUUUUUUGUCUCUCUUAAGACGAGACAAUAAGUAUGUCUCAUAAGAAUUCACGGUCAACUUGAAAUAUACCGGUGUCACUCCCGGUUAGUUGCUUAGACGUUAAUAUUGUUAAGCAAAGAAAAUAAUCCUGUGACAUGCCUUUAUCUGGUGUGACGGGCCGUAUCCUCACUUAAAGCAGAAAGUUGACUAAGGUUUUUAUUUUUUAAGCUUUAUUUAAUUUAUAAACUACUUUUGGAAUCCCGAAUUACAUUAACGCUGUUUCUGAGGGGCUUCGCUUUAUAUCUAUGAAACUCUGAUUUUAUUGGGCUAUUGAUAAAACUAUUACUAAUUACGUACAUAUAGAAUAUACGAAACAAAUUUUAGGGAAACAAUAGAUCAA